rnacentral:misc_RNA from 1 species
GAUGAAGACGUAGCGAAAUGCGAUACUUGGUGUGAAUUGCAGAAUCCCGUGAACCAUCGAGUCUUUGAACGCAAGUUGCGCCCGAAGCCAUCAGGUUGAGGGCACGUCUGCCUAGGCGUCACAUAUCGUUGCCCAAUGCCUAUUGCAGUGCAAUAGGAAUUUCUAGGGCGAAUGAUGGCUUCCCGUGAGCGUUGUUGCCUCGCGGUUGGUUGAAAAUCGAGUCCUUGGUAGGGUGUGCCAUGGUAGAUGGUGGUCGAGUUAGAACGAUACCGAUCAUGUGCAUGCUCCCCAAAAUAUGGCCUCUAUGACCCACACGCGUCUUUUGACGCUCAUGACGAGACCUCAGGUCAGGCGGGGCUACCCGCUGAAUUUAAGCAUAUCAAUAAGCGGAGGA